AGUCGAAAAAGGUUAGCCGCAAGAAGUCAGCAGAAGCCAUAGUAAUGAAAUAAACUCAUGAAGGGC
rfam:Bacillaceae bacterium MTCC 8252 Contig23, whole genome shotgun sequence.